GGCGAACGGGUGAGUAUAAUGUGGGUAUCUGCCUUUUGGUUUGGAAUAACAUGAGGAAACUUGUGCUAAUACCGAAUAAGCCCUUACGGGGAAAGUUUUAACGCCGAAAGAUGAGCUCGCACUUGAUUAGCUAGUUGGUAGGGUAAAAGCCUACCAAGGCUACGAUCAAUAGCUGAUUUGAGAGGAUGAUCAGCCACAUUGGGACUGAGACACGGCCCAGACUCCUACGGGAGGCAGCAGUGGGGAAUCUUGCACAAUGGGGGAAACCCUGAUGCAGCGAUGCCGCGUGAGUGAAGAAGGCCUUUGGGUUGUAAAGCUCUUUCGUCGGGGAAGAAAAUGACUGUACCCGAAUAAGAAGGUCCGGCUAACUUCGUGCCAGCAGCCGCGGUAAUACGAAGGGACCUAGCGUAGUUCGGAAUUACUGGGCUUAAAGGGCUCGUAGGUGGUUAGAAAAGUUGGUGGUGAAAUCCCAAGGCUUAACCUUGGAACUGCCAUCAAAACUUUUUAACUAGAGUAUGAUAGAGGAAAGUGGAAUUUCUAGUGUAGAGGUGAAAUUCGUAGAUAUUAGAAAGAACACCGAUUGCGAAGGCAACUUUCUGGAUCAUUACUGACUCUGAGGAGCGAAAGCAUGGGUAGCGAAGAGGAUUAGAUACCCUCGUAUCCAUGCU
rnacentral:rRNA from 1 species